rnacentral:rRNA from 1 species
CUACGGGUCGCAGCAGUCGAGAAUCUUCCGCAAUGGGCGCAAGCCUGACGGAGCAAUGCCGCGUGAGGGAUGACGGCCCUAGGGUUGUAAACCUCUGUCAGAAGGGACGAAGAACGUGACGGUACCUUCAGAGGAAGCCAUGGCUAACUACGUGCCAGCAGCCGGGGUAAUACGUAGAUGGCGAGCGUUAUUCGGAUUUACUGGGCGUAAAGGGUCCGUAGGGGGUCUGCCAAGUCUGAUGUGAAAUCCUGCGGCGCAACCGCGGAACUGCAUUGGAAACUGGCGGACUAGAGUGUGCGAGGGGUGAGCGGAAUUCCUGGUGUAGCGGUGGAAUGCGUAGAUAUCAGGAAGAACACCGAUGGCGAAGGCGGCUCACUGGCGCAUCACUGACCCUGAGGGACGAAAGCGUGGGUAGCAAACAGGAUUAGAUACCCCUGUAGUC